GCUUCACUUUCUGGGGUUUCACAGUUCUUCCUCUUCCACCCUUUGCAGAAAUGGCUGAAGCAAAGAAAUCAAACCCUGAUGUGGAGAAGAGGGUGAUGGUGGCCGUAGACGAGAGUGAGUGUAGCUACUAUGCUCUAAUCUGGGUACUGGAAAAUCUUAAACAAUCCAUUGCCGACUCGCCUCUUUUCGUCUUCACGGCUCUACCUCCGCCCACCAGUUAUACCUCCGGUGCCGGUGCCUCUCUCGGCCUCGCGCGAUCGUAUUUCCCUGUUGCAUCCAAUACGGAGUUGGCUCAUACGCUUCAAGAGAAUGAUAAGAAAGUUAGAUGCGGCAUCCUAGAGAAAGCAAAAGAUAUCUGUGCUGAAAGAGGGGUGGCUGCAAUAUCCAUCACAGAGGUUGGGGAACCUGGAAGGAUGAUAUGUGAUACAGUUGAAAAGCUCAAUAUAAAUUUGCUUGUUUUGGGUGAUCAUGGCAUUGGGAGAAUUAAGAGAGCUCUGAUCGGGAGUGUGAGCAACUACUGUGUUCAAAAUGCCAAGUGCCCUGUCCUUGUCGUGAAGAAACCAUAGGAAAAUGAGGCCUUUCCUUAGAGUAUAAACUUGAAGAAAAUCUGUCAACCAAAGAUGCUAUUCAAAACAGCUGCUAAUCUGACACCGCCUUGUGCCAACCGCAGAUUUUGCUUCCUGGUGUACCAGUGAACUUCAAUCGUGUUUCCUCCCUUGUCUUCAGCAAACCCAACAUGAAGAGGCUGCAUUUUAUGUCAAAAGCUGGGAAGUAUAGUUGUUAAUGGCCCCUGCAACGCACCGACCUUCCACUCCAUUUUCGUCUUUGCAAUCCCCUUUCGACCCAAACGAUAAAAAUUCAGAACCAGAAAGGUGAGAGAAAUUAGAACAACAGAAAGGGGAUACUCAACUGGCAUAUUGGUAAGUGCAAAGGGAUUCUGGAGUAUUAACAUAAUGAAGAGCCGAUGACCAUCGAUAUCGAAACUUGAUUCGAUCAGCCCAAAUACAAACGUUCGCUAAUUCACCAUUUGCAUACUCAGGCAACAGUCGCUGCACUGCAUCAGCUGCUGCUCUGCUCAACCGCGACUGUCGCAAGCAAAAACAAACAUCAAAUUCUUCAUCAAAGAGGUAAACAUGGGGGAAUUGGUUUCAAUGAAUGUGAAGAUCAAGAACCUGAGCGAUCUUGCAGAUGGUAAAAUGGCCAUCGAGGCCCCAACCAAAGCUAACAGGAAAGAUGAACACCAAGAACACUAGAAGACCUGCCAUGAAAGCUCUGCAGGGCUUCAUUUUUAUCUCCUGUUCUUGUUCUUCUGGUGAUUUGAUUCAUUUUUGUGUUUGAAUCUGUGCUUAAAUAGAGUGAUGAAUGCAAGAAAUCUCAGAAAGUAUGAACAGUAUAGAAAGGCA